UUUCUGUGAAGAAAGAUGACGAGUCGGAUCAGAGCUCAAGUCCGUCCCUAUGGAUUCUGGUCCAGGCCCACGUUCUGUGGUUCUGCUCCGGUUCCUGGGAACGGCGAGUUCUGUUGGUUGAAGACAUCGAGGCAUUUGUCUGAGAAGG